rnacentral:rRNA from 1 species
AAUCGAACUCGGAGAUAGCUGGUUCUCCUCGAAAUAGCUUUAGGGCUAGCGUCAUGUAAUAUAGCCAACGGGGGUAGAGCUCUGUAAACGACUGGGGCGGGCAACUGUACCCACCGUUAACAAACUACGAAUACCGUUGGUGGUACCAUGGCAGUUAGAACAUCGGGGCUAAGCUCGGUGCUCAAAAGGGAAACAGCCCAGACCAUCAUCUAAGGUCCCUAAAUUAACACUAAGUGGGAAACAAGGUGAAAUUUCUUAAACAGCGAGGAUGUUGGCUUAGAAGCAGCCAUUCAUUUAAAGAGUGCGUAACAGCUCACUCGUCAAGAGAUUUUGCGUGGAAAAUGUAACGGGGCUAAAGUGUUAUACCGAAGAUAUGGAUUUCGUUAUUCCUACGGGUUUAACGGAGUGGUAGAGGAGCGUUCCUAUCGGCAGUGAAGCUCAAUCGUAAGGUUGGGUGGAGCGUUAGGAAGUGAGAAUGCUGGAAUGAGUAACCAUAAGAAAGGUGAGAAUCCUUUCGGCCGUAAGAGCGAGGUUUCCAGGGCUACUGUAAUAAUCCCUGGGUUAGUCGGGCCUAAGCCGAGGCGUAGCAGCGUAGGCGAUGGACAUCAGGUUAAUAUUCCUGAACCGGUUAUAAUUUGUAUACUGUGUACGGUAAAUUAGUCGAAGCGGAUUAUUGGUAUAUAUCCGUCCAACUUAGCGGGAACGCAAAAGGAGUGAAAGUUAAUCUACGGAUUAACGAUUUUGAUGAAAGUACUGGCUAGAAAAGCAGAUAUACGCGUGGUUAUAGCCGCCCGUACCGCAAACCAACACAGGUGCUCGAGUCGAGUAGACUCAGGCUUACGAGAGACCCUUCGCUAAGGAACUCGGCAAAACAGCGACCGUAACUUCGGGAUAAGGUCUGCCUCCGCAUCAUUCGAUGUGAGUCGUGUUUCAAGCAAUUAGGUUAAGAUUAAUGGUAUAUAUGAGUAUCUUAAACUUCUUUACCGAGAUAGACAAGUCAAAUGGCUUAGCUUGGAACGCGGUAACCUCGUGUCAAACGAUGCGGAGGCCGCAGCAAAAGAGCCCACGGAACUGUUUACCAAAAACACAGGUCUCUGCUAACACGAAAGUGGAUGUAUAGGGGCUGACUCCUGCCCAGUGCUGGAAGGUUAAGGGGAGUGCUUUACGGUGCGAACUGAAGCCCCAGUGAACGGCGGCGGUAACUAUAACCGUCCUAAGGUAGCGAAAUUCCUUGUCAGGUAAGUUCUGACCCGCACGAAUGGAGUAAUCAUGUGGGCACUGUCUCGGCGAAGGACUCGGUGAAAGUGCAUUGGCGGUAAAGAUGCCGUCUGUCCAUGCCAGGACGAGAAGACCCCAUGGAGCUUUACUACAGCUUUACAUUGACACGGGUUACAUCAUGUGUAGCAUAGGUGGGAGGCUUUGAAGCAGAUACGCCAGUAUUUGUGGAGCCACAGGUGAAAUACCACCCUUGAUGUAGUCUUUGUCUUACCAUUGCCGUUAUCCGGUAAUGGGACCGUGUAUGGUGGGUAGUUUAACUGGGGCGGUUGCCUCCUAAAGAGUAGCGGAGGCGUUCAAAGGUUGGCUAGCUUCGGAUGGAAAUCGAAGUGAUAGUGCAUGCGCAAAAGCCAGCUUGACUGCGAGAAUUACAAUUCGACCAGAGUGGAAACACGGAGCAAGUGACCCGCUGUAAGAACAUUGUUCAUUGAAUGUGGGAUCGACAGCGCACACGGAUAAAAGUUACCCUGGGGAUAACAGGCUUAUCGCGCCCAAUAGUUCACAUAGACGGCGCGGUUUGGCACCUCGAUGUCGGCUCAUCACAUCCUGGAGGGGGAGCACCUUCCAAGGGUUCGGCUGUUCGCCGAUUAAAGUGGUACGCGAGCUGGGUUCAGAACGUCGUGAGACAGUUCGGUUUAUAUCCGGCAUGGACGUAAGGAUUCUUGAGGAGAUUUGUCUCUAGUACGAGAGGACCGAGAUGAACGAACCUCUGGUGUAUCGAUUGUGGCCACCUGCUGCAGUGUCGAGUAGCUAUGUUCGGUUAAGAUAAGCGCUGAAAGCAUAUUAAGCGCGAAACUGACUCCAAGAUUAGGAAUCCCAUGAGGACACAGAAAGAUGAUCUGUUUGAUAGGCGCAAGGUGUAAACCUGGUAACAGGCUAGCCAAAGCGUACUAAUAGUCCAAUCGCCUUUUUA